GAUGAACGCUGGCGGCAUGCCUAAUACAUGCAAGUCGAACGAAGUGCUUUAUGCACUUAGUGGCGAAUGGGUGAGUAACACGUAUUUAAUCUACCUAAUAGUGAGGGACAACAGUUAGAAAUGACUGCUAAUACCGCAUAGUAUAUUUUAUGGCAUCAUAAAAUAUUUAAAGGCGCUUCGGCGUCGCUAUUAGAUGAGGAUGCGGCGUAUUAGCUUGUUGGUAAGGUAAUGGCUUACCAAGGCAAUUAUACGUAGCCGGCCUGAGAGGGUGAACGGCCACAUCGGGACUGAGACACGGCCCGGACUCCUACGGGAGGCAGCAGUAAGGAAUUUUUCACAAUGGACGAAAGUCUGAUGGAGCAAUGCCGCGUGAUUGAUGACAGCCUUAGGGUUGUAAAAAUCUGUUAUAGAGAAAGAAUUGUCAGUAUAGGAAAUGAUAUUGGCUUGACGGUACUUUAUCAGAAAGACACGGCAAACUAUGUGCCAGCAGCCGCGGUAAUACAUAGGUGUCAAGCGUUAUCCGGAUUUAUUGGGCGUAAAGAGUGCGCAGACGGUAUGAUAAGUUUGAGGUUAAAGGCUAGGGCUUAACCCUAGUUUCGCCUUGAAACUGGUCUUACUAGAGUGUGGUAGAAGUUGAUGGGAUUUUCUGUGU
rnacentral:rRNA from 1 species